UUUGGCUGGCUUUAUAAACCAUCUCCCUUUCUCCCUGCUCUUGUUUUCUCUCAUGAAGUCACCAUUUCUUGUUGAUUUUGGGCUGUUUUGGUGACUAGAGAGGAAUGUAUGCUUCUCAGAAGCACAUGAACUGUUUUGCUCUUCAGUAGUGUCCCUGCUCUGCUCGUAGACACAGGAGAGCUGAGGAGAGGCAUGACGAAAGCCUCUGAAGCAGGAUGGAGUAGCAGAGAGGCUGCUUUCACCCAAGGGAUCUGUCAAAUGAGAUGAUCGUGCUGUCAUUUCUGCAGCAGGGACUUGCUAGGGAACAAGAAGUAAAGGAGUGUCUUGUGGAGAUGCCUUGUAGGGAGAGCUGACUGCCAGCCAAAAACCCAUCCAGCUACAAAAGCAGCUGUUUCAGCCCAAAGAAUUUAUCCUUGCCAGGCCCAUGGGACUCUAACCUACAUUUUCAAAAUUCUUCAUGUACAGUUUGGUUGCAGCUGGCUGUGCUGUGCCCUGCAUCAGCCUGCAGAGAGCCUGUGUCAGGGACAGGACACCUUUCAGCUGGAGAAGUCAGCCACUGUUCAACGUUGACCCAGAUUGUGAGGCUUUCAUCUGGAGAACUUCCUCACUGGUUUUCAGCCUUGGCUGUGUGAAUUUGUGUCUCCAGACCAGUCUGGGAAUGUAAGAGCUGGGGAAUCAUCUGACUCUUGCUGGAAGCAAGAGGCCCACUGGGAACUGUUCUACCAGGUGGGAGAGAAUGGUCACGGUCAGGAUUAAUCCCCAGCUCAGCUGAGGCCCUGGGCAGUGGGAACCCUGCUGCAUUCACAGCCUGGGCCUGGGAGAACUGCAAGGGGCACAGAUGUUUCUGAAGGAUGUAGAACAGGCUGAUCUAGUGACUGGAAGGUCCAAAGCUCUUUCUUGAUUUGACCUGAGAUUUGGGAAGUUAGUGGUUUUUAAUCCUUGUGAUCCUGGAAUGCUGUAGGCUGUGAAAGGAAGUCUGGACCUCUUGAAAUGCCCUGUACCACAAAAACAACCUUACUGUGAAGGACUGUAUUAAACUAAUCAAGAUUUUGUUUGCUGAAUCCUUAAAAAAUGUGAGACAGUUUCAAAUGACUCCAAAUGUUCAUUUGUAGCUUUUAAAAAUGUGGUUUUACAUGUCUGUAAUCCUAUUAUCUGUUUGGUGCUCAGUAAAUAAAACAACCUGCAACUAUUUCCUUUGACUUGCUGAACUUAAGGGCGAUGCCAAAGCUGUAACUUAAUACCAAAGCAUCCCAGCACUGUGGACGUGUUGAUCCUCUCAACAGCCAGUGAAUUCCUCUGGGCUAACCAGGAGUUAUAAAAUACAUCUUAAUGUGCAGCUAUUGAGCAGAAAUCUUUCCUUACCUAACACUAGCCAGGAAAUCUCUCUGGCCUACUCUGAAGGCAGGGUUCCCUGAAGUCCAUGGACAGCUGGGGAGGUCUUGAUGGCUGUAUUCUCUAAACGCAGCACUUUCUCCACCAGUCAUUACCCUGCCCUCCCUAUUCUCCCAAACAUCUUACGUGUAAAAGAAAGCCACAAUUGCAAGGUCAAACUUUCAAAUUCCAAGGCGCUGCUUCUGGGUUGGGUUGACCAAAAUGUAUUUGAGAAGUGCUGUGGAUCUCCAAGAUCAAUCCAAAAAACUGAAGAUCAGGCAGAUCUAUGAUGCCCUCAGAGAAGUAGAGAAUCUUGGAGGUCAAAGGUUUGGAUCACAGGAUGAGGAAGUUAAAGCCCCAUGUCUGAGUCAUGAUCUUU